CGCAAGGGGCGCUUAAGGGUAAUACCAGUGACUGGGGCUAAGUCGUAACAAGGUAGCCGUACCGGAAGGUGCGGCUGGAAUACCUCCUUUCUGGAGAUUCCGUAAAGGAACCUUGUUCUUAGGUAGGACCGUAGGAGUACAAGAUAGGGACAAAUCGUUUUUUAGAUGUGAGGAUUGCCGAAGAGAUUCCUCUCACGAUGAAAGAGUUCUUAGGGAUUCUUUCAUGGGUGCACCGCCCUUUUUGUUAGAAAUAUAUCGAGCGAACGCAAAAAUAGAGAAUUAAGGGCGCGGAGCAAUCAGCGAAAGACAGAGAUCAGCCGUGCACGACGACAUUAGCCAGUCCUAUAGCUCAGUUGGUUAGAGCGCUACACUGAUAAUGUAGAGGUCGGCAGUUCAACUCUGCCUGGGACUACCUGAAUCCGAAGUAGGGAUUUAUGGGGGAUUAGCUCAGCUGGCUAGAGCACCUGCUUUGCAAGCAGGGGGUCAUCGGUUCGAAUCCGAUAUUCUCCACUUGGUCAUCACGCUGUAAGGUGUGAUUGACAACGUGAUCUUUGACAUACUUGGUAAUAUAAUUAGAAACAACAAGAGUAGAGCCGUGUUCUAUUUGGCAACAAAUGGAAUACGAAUAUAAAAGCAAAAGUAACGAGUCUUGAAAGAGACUUAGUAUUUACUCAACAAUCGUUCCUUAUUGUGGUUGACCACAAGAAAGGACGUAAGGCGAAAAAAGACAAGGGC
rnacentral:misc_RNA from 1 species